UGGGGGAUAUUGCACAAUGGGCGAAAGCCUGAUGCAGCGACGCCGCGUGGGGGAUGAAGGCCUUCGGGUUGUAAACUUCUUUUGCUCUGAACAAGGCGCACCAUGGGGUGUGUUGAGUGUAGGGGUUGAUUAGCGCCGGCUAACUACGUGCCAGCAGCCGCGGUAAUACGUAGGGCGCGAGCGUUGUCCGGAAUUAUUGGGCGUAAAGGGCUUGUAGGUGGCUGGUUGCGUCUGUCGUGAAAGCUCAUGGCUUAACUGUGGGUUUGCGGUGGGUACGGGCUGGCUUGAGUGCAGUAGGGGAAGCUGGAAUUCCUGGUGUAGCGGUGGAAUGCGCAGAUAUCAGGAGGAAUACCGGUGGCGAAGGCGGGUCUCUGGGCUGUCACUGACACUGAGGAGCGAAAGCAUGGGGAGCGAACAGG
rnacentral:rRNA from 1 species